ACAGAGCUGAAAAUUGUGGGAUACCUUCGCAGCCGGGACGCGGAUGGAACGGCGACGGCGGAGCCAGAGAGCAUGCGCGUCCAACCCGAGCAUGCUCAGUAGCUCGCGCGGCUCCCCGGAGCUGCUGCGCCGACCGGCGAGCGAAGCGGAGGUCUCGGCGGUAGUCGAGGGAGCGACAGGAAGUGAAGCGGCCCCGCCGGGCGACCGCGGCGGCAGAACCCGAGGCGGCGGAAGGGGCUCUGCGGCGACGACGUCGUCGACCGGGGGAGAGGCCGAAGGAGCUGAGCGCCGAGGGGACACGCCCGCUCGGAAGCCGGACCCCGAGGCGGGCAGGAUGGAUCACCACCAGCUGGGGACUGGCCGCUACCAGGUGCUUCACAAUGAAGACGAUAAUUCAGAAUCAUCUGCUGUAGAGCAACCAUCAACUUCUAACUCCACAGCACAGACCGCGGAAGCUGCUUCUACAGCCCCAGCCCUGGAAACUGACUCUUCACCUCCACCAUACAGCAGCAUUACCGUGGAAGUACCGACCACUUCAGAUACUGAAGUUUACAGUGAGUUUUACCCGGUGCCACCUCCGUACAGCGUUGCUACCUCUCUUCCCACAUACGAUGAAGCUGAAAAGGCUAAAGCUGCUGCCAUGGCAGCUGCAGCAGCGGAAGCAUCUCAAAGAAACCAGGAGGGAGAGUGCACACCAGAUGACUGCAGUGAUGUGGACCAGCUCAGAGUAGGCAACGAUGGCAUUUUCAUGCUGGCGUUUUUCAUGGCAUUCAUUUUCAACUGGCUUGGAUUCUGCUUAUCCUUCUGUAUCACCAACACCAUAGCUGGAAGGUAUGGUGCUAUCUGUGGAUUUGGCCUUUCUCUGAUCAAAUGGAUCCUUAUUGUUAGGUUUUCCGACUAUUUUACUGGCUAUUUCAAUGGACAGUAUUGGCUUUGGUGGAUAUUUCUUGUACUUGGCCUCCUCCUUUUCUUCAGAGGGUUUGUUAAUUACCUAAAAGUCAGAAACAUGUCUGAAAGUAUGGCAGCUGCCCAUAGAACAAGGUACUUCUUCUUACUAUAGAGACUGCAUCAACAACAUUCCUUCCUUGUACCAAUGUGAAAUGUCCACGUCAUCUGUAGACCACAGCUUUGCUAGGACAGACUACUGAGAGCAGGAGGAAACUAUGAGAGGUGGAGCUCUGAAGUUAAAUGACAGGGUGGUUUAUGCUUAAAAGCCAUUUCUGCUCAUUCUUUACUUGUCUGUACUUCAUUUAUUUUGCGCAUUUGCAUAUGUGCCUAUUUAAAGAUACGCAUAUACUUGAAAGUCCACAAAGUUGUUGCAAAGUCCAGUCAUACUUGGUUAAUCAGUGUUUGAUAAAAUUGGAAGAGUUGAGUGGUAAACACUUCCAGCAUGUAAAUGCUUCUGACUUGACUGUUAGCAUAAUAAAAAUUACAUUAUUAAUCUUGUCAAAUGCUUUAGUUUCUGGCUUAGAUUCAUCUGGUAAUUCCAAACAUGAAAUAUUCUUUGCUAUAGAUGAUGUUUAUUAAAACUUGCAGUGUGAUUAUUAGAAAAGAUUUGUCAGAUUUUUGAGUGUGAUAUUAUUUAGGAAAACUGUAAAUAAUCAUACAUAAGUUGCUUUUUACAUUCUUUUCUUAGAAUUAUGUCUAGGUUUCUUUUCAUUAAUUUUAAAUUAAGUAAACUAAAUAUAUAGAAAUAAACUUUCUUAAAGAUAGAAUGGUUUCUAAAGAUAGAUGAACGCUAAGAAGAUGUGAGUAUACCAAAUGCCCUUUAAAGAAAAAGAAGCUAAGAGGCAAUACUAGUUUUAGGGAUUUUCAAACAAGAGGCUUAGAUUUGAGGAUUACUCACCUUAGCAAUUCUUACAAGAAGAGACUGAAUUAGAUCUUGUAUUUAUUUACAUCUAAGACAGUUUUAAAAAUUGAUUUAUCAAAUAUAUUCUCAUUUGCAUUUCUCUUUUAGAAAGCCAAUAAAAGUACCUUUCAAUAUUAUUGUAAUCAUUUUUCUUUAAAUGCUUAAUAGCAAAUAAAAUCUUGUUCUGUUAAUAGCGCCUUGCUUAAUGAUUGUAAUUUGUAAAAACAUAAGCUGAACUGAAUAACGGAAAAUACAUAUUUUGAUUUUAUGAAAAUGUAUCUGUGCAAUAUAGGGAUGCUGAGUGUCUGUGGUGAGUGCGUGUGGCCAUUACUCUGACUGGAACCUGCUUUUACGUCCAUAGCUACAAUGCUUGGCAUCUUACACAUUGCUGUCUCCUGGGGUCUUCAUUUUUAUCUUAGCUUUAGAACAGCAGCAGCAAAGAUGAUAGAAAUUACAUUACUGCUUACAUGUGAAGAUUGUCACUUAAUAUAACUACAAAGAACAUACAAAAUUGAUUGCUAGACACGGACUAAAAGGUACAUCUAACUAUUUAUGGCCCUUAUUCCAGUUUUAAGGAAAAAUAAAAUUUAUAAUGUUU